rnacentral:rRNA from 1 species
UAGUCUGCAACCCGACUACACGAAGCUGGAAUCGCUAGUAAUCGCGGAUCAGAAUGUCGCGGUGAAUACGUUCCCGGGUCUUGUACACACCGCCCGUCACACCAUGGGAGUCGGGAAUGCCCGAAGUCAGUGACCCAACCUAUUGGAGGGAGCUGCCGAAGGCAGGUCUGAUAACUGGGGUGAAGUCGUAACAAGGUAAC